CUGGCGGCGUGCUUAACACAUGCAAGUCGAACGCGAAAGGGGACUUCGGUCCUGAGUAAAGUGGCGCACGGGUGAGUAACGCGUAGAUAACCUGUCUUCAUGUCUGGAAUAAUACGCCGAAAGGGGUACUAAUACCGGAUAUUCUUGCUUUUCAUAAGUUAUGCAAGCAAAGGUGGCCUCUGCAUAUGCUACUGCAUGAAGAGGGGUCUGCGUACCAUUAGCUAGUAGGUGGGGUAAUGGCCUACCUAGGCGACGAUGGUUAGCGGGUCUGAGAGGAUGAUCCGCCACACUGGCACUGGAACACGGGCCAGACUCCUACGGGAGGCAGCAGUGAGGAAUAUUGCGCAAUGGGGGAAACCCUGACGCAGCGACGCCGCGUGAAGUGAGGAAGGCCUUCGGGUCGUAAAGCUCUGUCAAGAGGAAAGAAGUGUACAAUGGCUAAUACCUGUUGUAUUUGACGGUACCUCUAAAGGAAGCACCGGCUAACUCCGUGCCAGCCGCCGC
rnacentral:rRNA from 1 species